rnacentral:lncRNA from 1 species
GUUUCAAGAUUUUCCUUACAAUAUUGUGACCUAGCCUAGUUGUAAUUAGAUUGAAUAUUUAUAUCAUUACAACACCUUUGAUUAUGAUGUAACAAAGGUAGGUUGUAUGCGCCUUAAUUAGCUUAUAAAGCCUUGUCAAUCUGUUUGAUAUUGAUAUUAUUUGCAUUGCAUGCUUUAUAUACGUGAGACAUCUUUGACCAAUGGCGACUGGAUGAUCUUUGAUAGCAUAAUUAAAAUGCUGGCUGAUCCUUCUUGCAGGCAUUAUAUAUAUUGGGAAGUUUAACUCAUUACUUGUAGAUUUAUGUUUGUGAUGUCUUGCAUGAACUUUCCAUGACUUGCAUUUACAUGCUAGUAUUGACUCUCAUGCAUCUAGUUCAUGAUAUCAGAAUCUUGGCUUACCAGUUUUAAGUCUAUCGAAUUUACCCAUAUUUAAAAAGAGAAAAAUUUUGUGACAAAUGUUUUAGCUACUUUUGGCCAUCAAGUUAACAGUGGUUGCUAAACUACUACUUUGCAUGAUGUAGCUCUUGAUACUUUACGUUUGAUCCAUUAAGCUUAGGAUAUGUAAUGUAUAUGGUUUCUCUUUGAUUUUUAUAUAUGUUUCUAUACAAUCCCAGAUGGGUUCGCAGAAGCUGACGGCGUGUCUGGUAGGUGGUUAGCUAUCCUCCUACUGACCUACAAUAACAAGGGUAACCGGGGGCUUCCGGUCUUUCCUCCUCCGAAGCUCAAAUCAGAAUCUUAUGAUAGAAUGUAAUUACUGAGAGUAGUUAAUGAUACCUGACAACCUGGUGGCUGGGCCAUAAAUAUGGUCCAGAGUGAGUUCUCUUUACUUGAGAACCGAUGUGAGACAAUUGUCUUUGCUGUUACUAAAAACACCCAACUCCCUUAUGCCUUCUGAAACUGUUUCUGGCCCAAUGCUGCCUCUGAGGUCAGGCUCGGCCCAUCCUACUUAUAGGUAGGAACCUCAGGGCUGCCUCGGUUGUGGGGGAAUGUUUGCUGGUUUACAAGCUUGGGAGGUUGUUUUAUGCAUAACCGACUACAAUAUAUUUUGUCGAAAAAAGAGAUAUAUGUGGUUUUGUUACAAAUUUCUUGCAUAAAUAUAGAUGACUGUUCCAAGCCAAGUUUUGAUCUUUUCUUAAAAAUAGAAUAAAGUUAUUUUGUGACGAAAAUCAUUUUGUCACCUUAAUGAUCAUUUAGGCGGCAGGAUACUAUUUUCGUCGCCUAAGUAUGUUCUUACAUCACGUCACUUAGGCGAUAGAUUUUCGGUCGUCUAUGUACUUAAUUAGGUGAUGAAAAUAAUUACUUAAGUGACGAAUCAAUUCCUUCACCUAAGUGAUUUAUUCUUGUAGUGUGAUAAUGUUCUAAAGGCCAUUACUGAAAUAAAUGAACUGCCACGAUAAAAUGAAUUGUCACAAAACAUUAUCUGAUUGGUGUAUAAAACUUCUUUUUGUUAGCAAGAAAGAACAAAUUAAGAAACAAAACAUAGAGCUCAUGUUUCAUAGUAAAAACAUAUACCAAUUACUCAUUGAUCUCAUCAUUCGAUCUGCCCACCAACUAUAUACGGACUCUCACAAUUAAAUUGAACUCUGUUUAACUCUCGCAUCUUUGUUUGUUCCCAUGUCCUUAAGUCAUGGUAGACAUUUAGACGUUGUGUAACUUUUUCAUCUUUGUUUGGUCAUGUCACUAACACACUUUUGACUGCUGGUACACAUAUGGCAUGGUGUACGUUUCUCAAGUAACUGUUGGAAAAGUGUGGCUUAGAUUUAGAAUCUCACGUCAAAAACGUGAAGAGUUAUCCUUAGGUUAUAAAGAAUGGUACCACACACUAAUGUCGAGACCUUUUGUGUUAAAACCAUAUACCCGUUUUGCAUCCGGGUGACUAAACUGGGGACAAUAUCGAUAUUUCUUGACCUGUGUGUGUGGGACCCUCAGGACCCGUCGGCUGCUUCCGCAUAACAGUAAAAGAGCCUAUAUGAAGAACAUUUUCCUCAAUUAUGAAAAAGAUUGUAAUUUUAAGUCCGAUCGAAUACAUUAGAGAAAAUUAGAUAAAAACCCAAAAUACUAGACCUCUUUUAAGAUAAACCCAUACAUAUUUUUCUUUCAUUUUACACCCACUCCACAUAAGCAAACUUACUAUACAGAGCAUAUGUCUAUAAUUAAUAGUUUUCUUCAUUUUUUUAGUUUCUUUGAUUUGCCCUUCAGAUGAUAUAAAGCUAAAUUUGGUAUAUUUCUCAAUUUUAGCAUCAAUUUGAAACUCAAAUAUUGAGCUAAAAUUUAGUUUGAUUUAACUUUAUCAUAACUUUAAUUUCUUACCUUGUUAUUACUAACUUGAGUGUAUAUAUAUGUUAUAUAUAGAAGUAUGUCAUUUGUAAUAGAAUGAUUUUUUUCAUUCUUAAGCUCACAGUUGGUGUCUCUCUACAUAGUCGAAAAAUGUCUGAUUGUAAGGUACACGUUCUUGUUCUUUGAUUAAUUUUCUUCUUUUUAGGUAUAUUAUUAUAUCAUUUCUCAUCCUGAUCGAGAGAACAUUUACAUUUCUAAUGUACCUACUAAUGUACUUAUUAAGUAGGACAUGAUAUGAUAAUAUACCUAAAAAGAAGAAACCCAAAAUUGGGUUUAGGGUAUAGAGUUAGGGUAUAGGGUAUAGGGUUUAGGAUAUAGGGUACAGGGUAUAGGGUAUAGGGUUUAGGGUUUAGGGUUUAGGGUUUAGGGUUUAGGGCUUAGGGUUUAGGGUUUAGGGCUUAGGGCUUAGGGCUUACGGUAACACUAUAAAAUUUCUUCUUUUUACUCAAAUAAUCAGAUAUCUUAUUUAUUUUAUAUUUUACCUUAUGUAUAGAUCAUAGAAUGUAUUCAUUUCACCUAGAUUUUUUCAUAAAAAUAAAGAAAACCGCAUGAUUCUUGCAAAUUAAUUGAAAAAUGUUAGUGUUAAAAGAAAAACUCAUAAUCAAGGUAAAGAAAACAUCAAUUAAGCUUAUUUAUUAUGUUUAUAUGUUAUAGUUGAAUGGUGGCAAUUGUGUAAAAUUUAUAAAAAAUAGGACAUAAUAUGUAUCAUAAUUGAUACAUUUUAGAUGUCUAUCAGAAAGGAAUAUUAUGUGAGUUUUAUUUAAAAUCACUCUUCAAAAUUGGAUGUAUGUGAAAAUCCCCCAAUACAUUAUCACAACACUUUGAUUAUGAUAUAACAAAGUUAGGUCGUAUGUGUUUAGAGAUCGUUUUGGUUAAUUAUGUCUCCUUAUAUAUGAUCAUCACCAUACCUUAGCUAGCGUAUAAAACCUUGUCAAUCUGUAUCAACUAUCAAGGGUUCGGUGAAGAGAAUAACCAAAAGAAAGACAAAGAGCUAGCUCCCACAGCAAAACAGUCAAGUCUCGAUUCGGUUUGGUGGAAGUUACUUUGAGUGGCCGGACAUGAAUUGAAGAGCUUAUGUGGUUUCCUCUAUUCUUUCACUUCUUUGUGAAAUUUUAUAGUCGAGAUCGAUACUAUGAAUUUUCAGGGUAAAGUACUGAAGGUGAAGGAAUCCACUAUAUAAGAAAAGCCGGCUUUUACUUAUAAGAAGUUGGCCACUGCGAUCUCACAAUCCAUUGUGUUGACCAAAGGCACUGCAUUUUGCUUUUAGGUUAAGCAUGCCUGUGUAGAUAAAGGAUAAACAAUAAGAACAAACAUUGUAUAUAUCUUCGUACAUCAGAUGCAGAUCUCCAUCACAAUCUUCGAUCAUGACUAUAGGCUCAGGUCUACAGAGCACAACUGAAACUUACAUACUUGCCUUGGAAGCCACUGCUGAUCGAUCAGUGAUUACAAUCAUACCUAGCUGCAUGCCCUUUGUUUCUUCUUUUAUUUACUUUCCUCACUAAAGCUGCAAACAGUGGCAAAAGAGUACGUGAAUCACCAGAAAGCUUAAUUUUUGUGUGAAAACUCAAAACAUGAGUACUUAAAGAGUUAAGACUAAGAGUUUUUUUUUUUUUUUUUUUUAAGAGAGACUUGACACACUAAGUAAGCGGUUGCAGGCCUAAAUUAGAAGCUAGCUGACGAUAUGGUAUACAGGUAUAGACGUAUAGUGCAGUGUUCUAGUCCCAACUGUGCCUGAAAUCCAUUUCCUCCACGGCCCAUGCCAUUUCCGGCCUUCUGCUUUUUAAGGCCUUAGAGUUCUGGAUAUAAAAAUUUCUAAAUUACACAAAAGCAAAAACAACUACAUAUAUAGUGAAACUCAAUCUUCUUAAGAAGAGGUAUCCGAUGAUCAAUGGACCUGAUGGGAGGAAGGCUUGUAGGUGCGUCAAACAGCUCCCUGUACUUGAAGAGAAUACGCUGCAGCUCGGGAGCAGUGGUGAAUCCAGUAUAACAUUCUUAUCCGGGCUAAUUGUUACACACACAAAAAAUUCAACUAAUUUCAACGACGCGAGAAAUUUUAUUUAACAACUUAAUUUUAGAGUUACUAAAAUGACAUCAUUUUAGUAUACCAAUGUUUUUUUUAGAAUGUCUCAAACAAAAUAAGAGUAGUACCGAUUAACGAAAGAGUUUAGGUCAUUGGCAUUGGUGUUAUAGAGUUAUAGUUGCGAGGGAUUUGGCGGCAGAGAGUUUUGGGGGAGUGAUGGGAGGUGUGGGCUGGUUCUCAAGGUUGAAAAUUUGGGAGCUUUUUAAAUGUUUGAGAGAGGGAGGAGUGGUGAGUGGACAAUGUCGAAGAGUUUGGGAGUCUAAUAUUUUAACUGACAAAGUGAUUAGCUGAUGUUGAAUUGAAAGUGCAGCAGUGUCACUACAAUACUUGCUGGUUUUCUCUUCAGUUGAGAGUUAGUUUUUUUUUUUUUAAGAGCUGAGAUCUCACCUAGGCUUAAGCCCAGGUGAGCCUGGGGCUGGAUCCGCCCAUGCUCGGGAGAUCGAAGACACCAAUCUGAAAAAAGCCUACCUCGGUAGGCAUGGGGCUGCUAGGUACGUUUGAUGUUUAAUCAUCUUAAUUUUAACAGGAGAUAGAGUUUAGAGUUUAGCGUUUAAGGUCUUGGGUUUAGAGUCUAGGGUUUACCUUACAUGUGUAAUUUAACGACAUAUGCGAAUCGAUAUGGACAGGAUGGAAAAGUUGACAACUAAUAAUAUACAAUUAAGGUUUGGCCAACGACUUGCAAGUCUAAUUACUUGUUGAAAACGUGAGGCUUAGCUUGAUUAAUCAAAACAAGGUUUGGCCAACGUCACUGAUGACCUAAAUGAAACGGUUAGAGAUUUUCUUAAUUAAGGGGGUUACGUUAAUUAACCCGUUCGGAUCAAAGAACAAGAUUUUCUUACGUACGUUUAUCUGCUAGGUGUGAUCGUUCAAGUUCGAAUUACCAAUUAAGUCAGAAUCUGCUUAUUAUAAAUCCUGAAAAUACAUAAGCUGCUAUAUGCUAGCUGCUGCAGAAAUAUUAAGCUAUGCUUGCUUCGUCAACUAGUUCACGAGGAAAAGAAAGAAGAACAGGUUAAUUUGAAGUAUAAAUCCUUUUAUGCAUGCAGGUUUGAAGUUUGAGAGAUCGGUGUUGGUCAUCGUGUCCCUUUCAUCUUUCACUUCAGAUUGUUUUAAUUAGCAGUUGCCUAUGUUAAUUCGUCAGAUAUACUGAACACUAAUUAGCAAUUGGUCAGCACACAUGUCAUUAGAUAACUUGGGUCCCAACUCCCAAGCAUCUAGCAGCCCUUCUUUCGUUUUCGUUUUAUUUUUUUCCUUGUGGAUUUUCAUAAUUUCACACGUACUAUACAGUCUAUACUUAUGGCCAGGAGUAAGUCUACAGUAGAAACCAAAUAAUCCAACAGCAAGGAACCUUCUUCCUCAAGAACGUCCAUAACCCCCAGAAGAAGAAAGCAAAUUCAUCCAUACUAACUUCGGAAAAGGAUAAAUAGGAUAAGAAAGAAAAGAUCGUACUCUUUUGAACUGGGUACAAAACAGAUUGAGUACGUUGACAUGAACAAUUUUCAUUCUUGAUUCUAUGCAUGGUAGUGGCACACGCAAGAUGCAUAUAAUUUAAGUUUUUUUUUUUUUUUUUUAAUUUUAAGUAUUUGAGUUGGAGAGGUGACAAACGUGAUGUACGUGAUGAUAGCUACCAAUUUUUUCUUUAGGGGAAAUGAUUUUUACUACUGCAAGAUUCCAUUUAUAGAAUAUAUAUAGAGUUUUAUGGUUUAGGGCUUAGGGUUUAGGGUUGUGAUCAAGGGGCAUGGCAAAGCAUGUUUUCGAUAUAGUGAAGCAGAGUAUCCGAGUACCUUGCAAAAUAGUUGAAUUCAUGCAACACUAAACAUAUAACUAUUUGAAGAUCGACAUACGUAUAGUUUUGGAUCUAGACACUUAAUUAAUUGCUUAAUAAACAAGUAAUAAUAGGCAAUGAGUUUUACCAAGUGAGUAGUCUCUGUUUCGCGAUCAAGUAUUGUCUUCCUUUUGGGGGAUUGUAGCAUGUAGUGAAUUUUCUCAAAUAUUUUCUCUCUAAAAAAAACAAUGUCAAUAUAUAUGUCAUGAUCGAAUAUUCCACUCGUGUUUCCUGUUGGCUAAUUUGAAAUUGACCAAGAAAUUUCGUGAAUUCAUGUUCUUAGAAAGAUGUACAAGCCUUGUGAACCUUCGCAAAAGAAAAAAUGCUAGUUUGGACCAAGAUUCUCAUGAUUCAUUUAUUUACGUACCUAUUCCCAAAAUAUUGAUUUGUCGCCCUCACUUGUUUGUAAUGACAAUCAUGUCCUUUCCAAGCUAUGUUAUUUAUAUAUGUUUUAAUACUCAUAUAUACGAUUUCACAGCUCACUGAAGAUUUUUUACUUAUGAGUUUUGUCUGCUAUACUGACGUGUAUAGCAUACAAACUGAAAAAAGCAACUAAAAGGAAGAGAUCACUUGUAACAUAGGUGGCUGUUUUAGAAAAUUUGUCUACAAAAACAAGUAUAUAUGUCAUACAUUAAUGUACAACAGAUUUUUCCUUUACUUAUACCUUAUAUUAUAAGAUUUGAAAAUUGAUUCACCCUAGUAUCCACUUAAUUGACUGUUUAUUUUGGUCUCUCUUGAUUGACUAGAUAACAUAAAAGUGUGUAGAUCUAGAGACUUAAUUAAACCAUGCAUGUAUAGUUUAACAAAUCAAUGGCGGGGCAAUCUUGCCAUUUCAGUUGUGGACAAAAUGAAAAACCAAAGUUGUGUUCCUGCUAUGGCUAACCAUUCUAGAAGCCUGGUUUGCCUUGGUAUUUCCAUUACUUGGAGCUUUUAAUUGGAGUACAGGUCAUAGCCUCAUUGGUCAACUAUUGUUUAUCUUACUAUACAAGCCACCAAAAACAAGUUCAAAAUUUGUAACACCCUCCUUCAGAAGCCUCUAGACACCCUUGGAAUUUAACUUCAAAAUCAUCCUUUAAAACCCCACUCUCAUUUCCCACCCCUUCCCCAUCUUCCCCUCCAUAGCUUAAUUUCUUCAUCUCAUCAAGCCUCAAACAACAACUAUACUCUUCCCUCUCUUUGAAACUAUGGGUACUUUAGUUGGGCAUGUAGUACCAGGCUUUGGGUUUGUUCUGAUUGGAUUAUGGCACCUCUUCAACCACAUCAAGCUCCAUCUUCAACAUCCCAACUCCUACAGGGCACCAAUAUGGUUUCCCGCCUCCAAGUUCAGGUACUUGGAGCUCUUGUUGAUCAUCUUAGGUUCAUCAGCCUCCGUUGCCAUGGAACUCUUCAUCAGUCCUGAAAAACACCAACCGUUCGACGAUGACGGAACCAUCCCUUCAAACCAUCUCCACAACUUCGAGCACGCCUCAAUCUCCAUGACUUUCUUGGUCUACGCUGCCUUGGCUAUCGUUCUCGACAAAUUAGCACCUAGAGCUCAGCAUGGUCUGACCCAAAUCCUCGGAGCCGUAGCCUUUGGUCAGCAACUGCUACUCUUUCACCUUCACUCUUCUGACCACUUGGGACCUGAGGGCCAAUACCACUUGCUUCUUCAGCUUGUGAUUCUUGUCUCCUUGAUCACAACCCUAGUGGGACUUGGUUUCCCCAAGUGCUUCCUGAUCAGCUUUGUGAGGUCACUCAGUAUAUUCUUCCAAGGUAUCUGGCUUAUGGUCAUGGGGGUUAUGCUCUGGACACCUGGGUUGAUUUCCAAAGGUUGUUUUCUAAAUGAUGAAGAGGGUCACGAAGUGGUUAAGUGCCAAAGCGAGGAGGCACGUCACAGAGCACUGUCGUUGGUGAAUCUUCUGUUUAGUUGGUUCUUGAUUGGAAUUGCCGUUUUUGGGGUGGCCUUCUAUUUGGUUUUGGUUAAGUUUUACGGUGAAAAGGUGGAGUACUUUACUCUGGGAAGUGACCGUGAAUCUGAAGAAGAUGAUGAUGUGGAAUCUCAGAAGAGAAGCAAUGUUGGAGACUCGAAGAGCUUUGUGGAUCAUAUGGGAAAGACAGCCUUUGCGCCAAUAGACAUGGAAAGGUAGAAAAGGAAAUGUGCAACGUAGAUAUUGAAUCGAAUUAAGCAUUGUGUGAUUAGGUAUAUGUGCGUAUAGAUUAAUUAGAUUGAUGGCUACCACUUUAUAAAUUAUUGUGGAGAUUUGUGGAUGGAAAAUCAAGGGAAUUUAGGGAAGAAUUGUUGAGGGAAAUUGUUUGGUUUGCAUUGAAUAUUGACGGGUAUUCUGCCUAAACCUAGUCCUAUAUGUUGGUGUGUGUAUAUGGAAAAGUUACCAGUGAUCGAAGAUGGAGAGAGCGCUGUUGGAAUUGUACAUUAAAAUUUCAUUUGAUUUUGUUAUAAACUUUGCCUUAUCUUUAAGCUUGUGAGAGUGAAUAUGCAUGAUUUCAUUACAAAGCUUGUUUUUUAGUUAAUUACUUAUGAAACGUAUCAUAGAUAAUCUAGCUCCUUAUUGCAUGACAAUUCUGUUUCUUAGACUCAUUGCUUAAGUAUCAAAUCAAAGUGAAUGAUUUUGGAUGAAGUAUGAGUAUCUUGGCCUUUCACUAUUCGUUUAAAUCAUGCUAGCUAGGCAUGCUCUUGAAUUCUUGAAUGAGAAGCACACAUAUUGAAAACAAAUAUUGAUCCUAAAAAGUUAGCUAAAACUACUAACUUUUUAGCCUAAAAGUAUAGUAAACUAAUUAACUAAUCGUCGGUCCCUCACUGAAAUUAACAGAGAGACGAUUAAUUGGACAAUAGCUAAUUAAUAAUUAUACUUUGUACGUGUUUGAAAAGCAAGUGCUACAUUGAGAAAGUCCUAUAGGCUAUCUCCUCAAACCAGGUACAUCAAUUGUGACUUUGGGUGGAACAAUUACACUUCAUGUUGUCCAUUCCUAAUUGCGUAUAAUUUGAUCAGAAAAUCAUAUAUGGUCAUCAUCAAGUAGUUGUCGAAGAGAUUGACUGCAAGUUUCUGUAAAGCAACUUUCCUUAACCAAAACAAUUAGUGGAUAAAGAAACCUUUAGAGUUCGCCAUCUAUGUGAUACACUUGCUAAUGAAUAAUAUUGAUCCAUCGUCAUCAUUCACAAAUGCAUGUAAGGGUCAAAUAUAAAGCUCAACGUAAUCAGAUAUGGUAGAAAUUUGUUUAGACACCGAAACUUUCCGGUAAGAAGAGACAGCAAAUAUAUAUAUACUAGAAUUAUACCCGCGCCUUGGCGCGGUAUAUACAUUUACGGUGUGUUUGGAUGUGGGUGAAUUUCUGAGAAUUUAAUAAAAAAUAAGGAAUUCCCAAUUUCUUAGGACGGUUUUCCUCGUUUGGAUACUUAUCUUAUGGAAUUAGCAAUUUCACAGGAAAAUAAUCGUGAAAAUUUAGGAANNNNNNNNNNNNNNNNNNNNNNNNNNNNNNNNNNNNNNNNNNNNNNNNNNNNNNNNNNNNNNNNNNNNNNNNNNNNNNNNNNNNNNNNNNNNNNNNNNNNNNNNNNNNNNNNNNNNNNNNNNNNNNNNNNNNNNNNNNNNNNNNNNNNNNNNNNNNNNNNNNNNNNNNNNNNNNNNNNNNNNNNNNNNNNNNNNNNNNNNNNNNNNNNNNNNNNNNNNNNNNNNNNNNNNNNNNNNNNNNNNNNNNNNNNNNNNNNNNNNNNNNNNNNNNNNNNNNNNNNNNNNNNNNNNNNNNNNNNNNNNNNNNNNNNNNNNNNNNNNNNNNNNNNNNNNNNNNNNNNNNNNNNNNNNNNNNNNNNNNNNNNNNNNNNNNNNNNNNNNNNNNNNNNNNNNNNNNNNNNNNNNNNNNNNNNNNNNNNNNNNNNNNNNNNNNNNNNNNNNNNNNNNNNNNNNNNNNNNNNNNNNNNNNNNNNNNNNNNNNNNNNNNNNNNNNNNNNNNNNNNNNNNNNNNNNNNNNNNNNNNNNNNNNNNNNNNNNNNNNNNNNNNNNNNNNNNNNNNNNNNNNNNNNNNNNNNNNNNNNNNNNNNNNNNNNNNNNNNNNNNNNNNNNNNNNNNNNNNNNNNNNNNNNNNNNNNNNNNNNNNNNNNNNNNNNNNNNNNNNNNNNNNNNNNNNNNNNNNNNNNNNNNNNNNNNNNNNNNNNNNNNNNNNNNNNNNNNNNNNNNNNNNNNNNNNNNNNNNNNNNNNNNNNNNNNNNNNNNNNNNNNNNNNNNNNNNNNNNNNNNNNNNNNNNNNNNNNNNNNNNNNNNNNNNNNNNNNNNNNNNNNNNNNNNNNNNNNNNNNNNNNNNNNNNNNNNNNNNNNNNNNNNNNNNNNNNNNNNNNNNNNNNNNNNNNNNNNNNNNNNNNNNNNNNNNNNNNNNNNNNNNNNNNNNNNNNNNNNNNNNNNNNNNNNNNNNNNNNNNNNNNNNNNNNNNNNNNNNNNNNNNNNNNNNNNNNNNNNNNNNNNNNNNNNNNNNNNNNNNNAUUAUAUAUAUAUAUAUAUAUAUAUAUAUAUAUAUAUAUAUAUCGGUCAUAGAUCCCUACCUAAGUUUCAAUGGAUAAGUAGAAGACUUAUAAAUUAUAAUUGGAUGAGUCGAUUAAACCUAAUAUACUUCAUGGCUUCAUGCAAAAGAAAAUUGUCUCAAAAACUAGAGAAGAGGUCAUGAAAAAAGUGCGAGACGUCCGAGACUGUUGGAGCGAACUUGAGAGGUGAACCCAAUUUAGGUUUUCGAGUUGCGGUAGCGGGGUUUACCGACUCAAACUAGGAAGCAAGUAAGGAUGUCGACGACAAGGCGUUAUCGAUGUUUAGUGUUGAAGAUCGGUGAAGCAGAUGACAUUGAUUGAGAGCGAUGUGCAUCAAAUACAUAGGGGUUUGGCUGCAGCACUAGGCCCCUUGAUUAAAGAUGGUCGGGAGCUGCUUUAAGCUGAGGCCCGGGGGAGGCCAUGCCAUCCUCCGGACAACAUGUCUCUGAUGAAGGUGGAAGGGAUCUAGAGGUGGGCUCAGGCUCUUGGGCCUGGGUACGUAUGCGCCUCGGUCUAGGAUGCUUGUUUUAGUUAGCUUUUGGAACUGAGCUUUUGGGAUGAAACUCAUCUCUGGGCUUUUGGACCUAGGUUCAUAUGUGAUACCCAUCAAUGGGCUUUUUGGCCUAGGUUCAAAUGCGAAACGAUGGGUUUCAACGAAGAAGUACGUGGUUUUACUCAAGGCUGUAGGAAGUCAAAGCUCUAACCCGGAAGGGCAUGAGCUUGAAAUCUUUCAAUUAUGUUUCGAUUGGAUUUUAGUCUCUAGUAGUGACCUAUUUUAUACAUAUAUGCUAUAUAUGAAGAUAACUUAGACUGGGUUUAAUUAAGUCUCUAGUAGCUGCCUGUUUUAUACAUGUAUAUGCUAUGAAGAUUUUUAUAGAUUGCUUGUACCACAAGUGCGUGCUAGGCAAGUUGAUCUAGAUACAUAGGUAAUUGUAGGAAGCAAGACUACGUUUUGAUUCGAGGUUUGCAUAACUGCGAGCAUACUAGUUUCUUUAGUAGUAUGCUUUCAUUUUAUCAGGUUAAUCCGAUACUCCAUAUUUGUCUUUUGUAAAUUUGGUAAACUACAAACAUUUGGCUGUUGGUUCUUAACUUCUAUUAUAAAAAAUGAAAAUUGUCUCAAAAACUAUUUGAGCUCCACACAAUUGGAGAGAAACCCCAUUUGCCGCGAAGCCGUAACUCAAAAGCAGCCCCACCAAAGCUAAACCCUAAAACUCUCGCCACCCCACACGAUCGUCACCUUAUAAUUAGUUCAAUUAUCGAGAUCAUUUAUUCUCGCUGUUAGUUUUCGGGAAAGAUUGUAGUUGUGAUUCGGCCAAAUCAGAAACUAUUUACUCACCUAACUUCCAUAUCUUCGUCUACUUUUAUCCAAACUACUAUGCCAACAGAAUACGAUUCAACCGCCUUUGAUCAAAACUAAAUUUGCCGACCACCUUUUUGUGCCCACCCACCUAAUCUAAUGCCAAGUGUCAUUUCUCUUAAUCAACUUUAACCAUGAUUACAACAUAAAAUUGUAAUAAAUGAAUUAUGUUUUUUAUUUAUUUUAACUUUAACUCUUUUUAAAUUAGUCUUUAUUAUUUCUUUUAAGUUGAUUUCAAACAUGUGCAAACCUUUUUUCUUUUAUUACCCACAGGUCUUUGCUUUUGUUUUCAGAACACCCGGUAUUCUUUUUUCUUUUUUCUUUUUUUAGGGAGGAACACCCAAUAUCCAAUUUGACUCUAAAUAAUCAAAUUGAGCGCUAAGCAUCUACAACGCCAAGCACCUCUAUUUGUAUGGCUUCAAGGAACCAUUGAUUCUUAUUUCUAUUCAUAAUAAAAUGCUGAGGAAAAAAAAAACUAGGACAAACAACAAAAUGAACUUAAUAACAAGGCAUCCUUGACAAUUAUAACACCAUAAAAAUCAAAGAGUUGAGUUAAAUUACCAUUCAUGAAAAGUUUGACAUUAUUAGUUUAUGAAUGAGUAUAAUAUUCGUCCAAAAGAAAUGAGUAUAAUAAAUAAAUAAAUAAAUAUAUAUAUAUAUAUAAAUAACGAUGAGAAAGAUAGAAACAUGUGAAAUCAUGAUGGAUCAGAAAGUUUAAUUUAUUAUUGUUAAAAAAAUUAAGUUAAAAUCAAAAGAAAAUAUAAUUCAUUUAUUACAAUUUUAUAUUGUAACCAUAGUUAAAGCUGAUUAAGAGAAAAGACACUUGACAUUAGAUUAGGUAGGUGGGCACAAAAUGGUGGUUGGUAAAUUUGUUUCCCGUCUUUGAUCAUAUCGAUUUCUUUGCACAUAUUAUUCCUAAAACGAGAUCUAAAAUACAAAUCACAUCGUACGUUUCCUGAUUCAAUCUCCUUCCAAAUCAAUACCAUCAAAGCAAAUUCGAUAAACAUGAUUUAUUGAUCAAUUACAAACCAGGGGAACAUGCUCACCAUAAACUCGAUUACGUAUAAACAGUAAAACUCUGCUCGGACGGCCCUCAUUCACCAAGACACAAAGGCCCGACCCAAGCAAAAGAUUGUUCUUAUUAUUAUUAUUUUUCUCCUUGGAGAGAGUAAAAAACCCGAAAAGAUUCUAACUUAGAAAAUUGAACUACUUCAAGUUUUUUCCGGUGAUUUUCUGGUGCGUCGUCCUCAAACUCAGUAUCUCAGUCCCUCGAGAAACUGAGAAGCUCUAAUGGUGCUCAGGUUUCCCUAAAAACAGAGUGAAGCACUGGUGUUUUUAAAUGGAAAACAAUUCAGACUCGGAUGAGCCAGAGAAGAAGAGACCUCAUUUGAAUUCGUUCUCCUCCGCCAUGGCCCGAAGCUCCAACCCCUCUCCACCUAAUGACCACCAUAACGUAAUCUAACCCAUCUCUCUUUUUCCUGUUUUGAAUUUGCCCAUGAAAACAUGGAUUGGUAUAGAGUUCUGGGUUCGAGGAAAGUUUGGUUCUUGCUUCAAUUGGAGUUGUUGGGUGGUGGUUUUCUGGUUUGGAUAGUGUUUUGGGAUUGGUGGUAUUGGGUUCUGCUAGAACUGGGAUUUUUGGGUUGGGAUAAAGGUUCAAUUUUUGGUGAUUGGAGGCAUUGGGAAUUGCAUUUACUGUUUUGGGUGUGGUUGUGUGAUUGUUACUAUUGUGUUUUGAUGUGUUUUGGUUUAGUAAGUGUAAGGGUAGGGAAUUGAGAUGGUGGUUUUUGAAUAUAGGUAGUAGGGUUUAGACAAAGCUUCACUCUUGUUUGAGUUGGUGUGAUAUAAUGGUUAUUGGAGUCAUUGGGUGUUUUUGUUUACUGAUUUGGAUGUGAUUCUGUGAUUGUUUAUAUUGUGUUUUGUUCUGUUUGGUUGAGGAAGUGUAGGACAAAGGAAUAUAGAUGGAAGCCAUUUUUGGAGUUGAGAUGAAUUUGUUAAUAGUUAGAUUAGUGUAUUGGUUAUAAUUCAAUGUACUUCAUUUGUACUUUAAAUAUGAUUUGAAUGAUAUAAAGAUUCAUAUUUUUGGAUUCCUUCACGUAUGCAUGUCCAGGUCGAUGCUGCAGUUCUCCAGUACCAGAACCAGAUGAUGCUUCAGCAGAUUGACAAACAGAAGCACCAAUUGCAAGAUCUUGAAGCAAACAUCAAAGAACUGAAGGCGAAGCAAGGUUCUUAUGAUGACAUGCUAAUUGCAGUGAAUCAGCUAUGGAAUCAGGUUAUGAUGAAUGUUUUGUUUCGUAUCUUUUCCAUUUUCAGACCCAGUUUUCUAUAUCAGCAACAUGUAUUUUCUGAUGGGGUUUCAUUGUGUGCUGUGUAGUUAGUUGACGAUGUAGCCCUUCUUGGAGCAUGUGCUGGAGCAGGCCAAAAUGCUUUGCAAAUUUUGGAUUCUGCUGAUUAUUCUCGCGGUACAUUUAGUUGUUUUAUGCAUCUCUGUUUGUUUUUUGUCAUGAUUUCUAAUUACAAAAUUGGAAUUUUAGUUGUUUUGAAUUGACCUGAAGUGAAUUUCAGGUUUGAUUCCAUCAUGCCCUGCGGAGCAGAUGUUUCUUUGUAGAAUCCUACAAAGAGAUACUAUAGAAGCUAACAACGUUAAUGAAGUUGCUAACUUUGUUGAAGAAGCUCUCACUCUGCGUCAUACAUCAACUAGGGAGCUGAUGAAACUCUUGGAACAUACAAUUACUGUUGAGAGGGAAAAAACAGAGAACAUAGCCCGUACUUUGAAUGGAAAGAUAACUUCAGAAGGUUAGAAGAUGUGAUAGUCAAUAAACUGAUAACUUUACAACCUAAUUUCGUACAGUUAUGUUUCACUUUCCAAUUUAAGUUUUGCAGUAGCAAGUGCAUCAUGAGACUUACAGAUAGUUUUUGUUUUUGUGUGAUUGUCAGAUGCUAUCAUUGAAUUAUCCAAGAUUGAUGAUAUGAUUGAAAGGGAGGCUAAUAAUCUACAUCAAGUGAUUGAUAUCCUUCAUUUGAAGCAUAAAGAGUAUGCUGAUGUGAUUCAUACUCGCGCUAGUGGCGAUUCAACAGAUCAAUCUGAAAUUAGAAGAAUUACAGGUUUUUGAGAUGGUUAUUCCCACAUAUCUAUGUGUUUUAUGUGCUUUAGUUCUGUUAGAAAUGUCUAGUUGUGUACACUUGAUAACUGAUGCCACAUGUGUCUAAUAGCUUUCUGAUUCAUAGGGAAUUGAAGCUAUGAAGCAAGAUAUGUUGAUUCAACACCAUCUUUUAAUACUUGUAGAUCUUAGGGAAUAUGCUGAAUUAAUUGAAAAUAUAGAAAUGACCGAAUUUUAGUGAUUCCAGCUGGGUAUUGUCUGUUGACGUGUACAUGGUCUGUUAUGAGUGACAGGUGAUCUCGAUGACAGCAUGGCUGAACUAGAGGAGAGUAGGAGGAAACUAGUCAAUCUUAAAAUGCAAAAGGACGUUGCAUCUGGGAUGCACAACCUUCCUUCUGGUGCAGUGAAUGGGACUUUGUCACCUGAAAAAUCAACAGAAAGGACAAUAAGCUUGCAGGAACUUAAAAAUUCAAUCGAUGAAACAAAGGUAUACAUGUGUUGCCCAAAACUUCUUUCAUGGACCCCUCCCUCUCUCUCUCUCUCUCUCUCUCUAUAACUGUAGAAUGUUUUGUGCAUAUGUUGCAGAUACUUGCAGCCAGCCGCCUUUCUGAGAUUCAAGAAGCAAAGGAAGAAAAUCUAGCAUUGUCAAAAGAAUUGCAAGACUUUCAGGUCUCUGAUUUUGAUAUAUUUUUAUUUAUAUAUUUUGAAAAUUAAUAGUUAUAUUAAGCUUGCAUUUCCUUAUUUACUAAAGCAUCCUACUUGGGAUAUAUUUACCACAGAAUGAAGUGAAGGAUGAAAAAUAUGUACACUCAUCUCGACUGUACACUAUGCUAAAUGAUCAACUCCAGCACUGGAAUGCUGAAGUGGAGAGAUACAAAGCCUUGACUGGUUCUUUACAGGUUAAGUUGCUUUGUUUUAUGUGUUUGCAGAUGCUUUGAAAACUUGUCCUGUGAGUGAUGUAUUCUAAAUCUGUAUUUUCAGGCUGACAGGGCUGUUAUCAUGAGAAGAGAAAAGGAAUUAUAUCUCAAAGCUGAGUCUGCAGAAGCAGUCAGGACAAUGAAUGAAAAUGAUUCUAGGAUUGAGGAACUAGAGCUUCAGCUGCAGAAGUGCGUAAUUGAAAAAAAUGACUUAGAGAUAAGCAUGGAGGAAGCUGUCCAGAAUUCAGGUAAAUUACUUGAGUUCGAUAACGUUUCAUAAUAAUUGUGUGUGUAGGUUUUUUUUUUUUUUUUUUUUUUUUUUUUUGAAAAGCAUUUGGUACUUAGAGAUGUUCCAUGCUGCAGGAAGAAAGGACAUUACAUCAGAGUUCCAUGUGAUGUCCUCAUCUUUGUCCAAAGAGAUGGAAAUGAUGGAAACUCAGUUAAAGCAGUGGAAGGAGACGGCUCAUGAGACACUUUCCUUGCGUGAGAAAUCCCAGACUUUAAAAGCUUCAUUAAGUACGAAGGUUUACUUCCAUUCCCAGUUACUCUUGCCUCCGUCAGUCAUAGUUUAUUAGUUUCUGGUGUAAUAUUGAUUAAGCAUGCUCGUACAUACAGAAAGAAUAGGUUGUGGUGAACUGUAUGAUUUUUUGGGCGAAUCAAAUUUAUACACUCAUACCCAAAGAAAAAAUAAAGUUCAUACACAUACACAUGCACAUUAAACAAUGCAUGCAAAUUUUGUACUUUCUCUUUCAUUUUAAUUAAGGGGAGUAUGUUUUUCACAACUAGGGUGUCAGUAUACUCUCUGAACUUCAGAGUGAAGAAGUCUUUUGAUUAAGUCGUCUGCUUGGAUUUUUAUGGUUCUUAUCCAUUUCAAUCUGACUUUGGAUAAGUUUUGAAUGUGGAAUACUCUCUGAACUUCUCCACUUUAUGUUUGUUUUUUUUUUUUUUUGAAAGACAAACGAGCGGAACGGCUUAGCAAGCAAAUGUGCUGUACAGAUGAUAGAGAUCAAGUCUCUUAAGGAAUUGGUGAGGCCCUCUUCUUUUAUUGAUUACAGUUGCCGUUACUUCGGAUGGAUCUUGCCUACGGAUUUUUGUUGACCUUUUUAAUAGAGUAUUAUACUUUUCCAGUCCUGUGAAUGCUCUUUAAAUUUACCUUUAUAUGUGUCAGCUUUUAUCAUCUCCUACAGCCAACAUGCAAGUUUUUCAUAUAUCAAUACCUGUUGUUUAAUUAUAAGUCUUAUCCAAUUCAAGAAUUUAAUUUUCAGUUUGACUUUAGGGUUCAGUUUAUGUUUUCCUGUCAAAUCAAAUAUAUGGAAAUUUCUUUGCCUGUGUAGAGCUUCGUGAAAUUCCAUUUCCACAGUGGCAAUGCUGUAUUGUGAUCAGUGACAAUGGUUUAGAGUGAUCUUCUGGCCACAAGGCUAAGCUGACAAGAAUGACAUGGAGGCAUGAUUCAAAUAUAUCUCUGAGGGUAGUUUAUUUUAAUUAAAUCAUGGUAGUAAUCCAGUAAAACCUUAUGGUUUGGUAAUAAUGGGAGGAAUCUAUGUAAAAAGGUUGAGAGUCUAAUAAAAUAUAUAUGUGUGGAGCUAAGAUGGGGAGAAAAGGUCGUAUGCUGAUAUUGUCACUGAAACUCUGGAGUCGUUAGUACAUGUUGACCGUUUAAAAACAUUGUAAAUUUGAAGGGUGAAGAGUUGUAGACUGAUCGUAACACAUUGCAGAUUGAGAAGUUGCAGAAGGAGAAACUGGAACUUCAGAUCUUCUUGGACUUGUAUGCUCAGGAAAGCUACGGAAACAGGUAAUUCUGUUCUCUUUGGUGCUAGGUGCGGUUGUACAGGCCUUGUGGUUAGAACAUAAGCUACUAUAUAUAUUUUAAAGAUUUGAUUUUAAUUAUUUAACUAUUUAUUUUAAAUUUGCUCCAACCUUUGGAGGAUGCCAUUGUGUUGUUUUGGGGUAGGAGUUACUCUAUGAUAUGAAAGUGAUAUCUAUGUCAAUUAAUCUAUGAAAUUAUUCUCAUAUAUGCUCAAAGAUUAUCUCUUUUAAUAUAAAACACAUAGGACCAUUGUAAGGAAUUGACAACUUAUUGUUGCACUUCUGGAACAAUCUCCAGUUGGGGAAUCUAUAACUGGGUACUAUUACACAAAAUUGUUCUCCUGAACUGUGAUUUUUAUAUGGUUAAAUCUUUGAUAUCUUCUGGACAAGACCAACCCUAGUCGAACAACUAUUGCUUCCGGGACAUGUUUCACACAAAUUCUCCAUUUAUCACUUUUUUUGGGUGUCCACAAAAAUGUCAGGGUGGUCUUUAAAAUGGGAAGAAAUAAUUUUGCAACAUGCUUUAAGAUAAGAAUAUGUUGAGUUUAGUUUGUUAUUCGUGUUUUGGUAACUGACUUCAACAAACUCUGAGUUGAGGAUUAUCCUACGUCACAAGUUAAUUGUAAAUAUGCAGCUCCCUGAAGGUAUAGUGGACUUAGCUUAUCUGGUCUGGCAUGUAAAUUUAACAUAUAAAAUGGGAAUGAUUUAAUAUAACAUAAGCUGGGUGCCGCUAUAUUGUCAUGCAUCUGUUUAUCUUCUGGUGCUUUAGGAUUAAGGAUGUAGUUGUUUCUUAUUUACUGUUGCUUGUAAUUUACGCUGCACAUCCUAAUAAACUGAGUGAAUGAAAUAGCUGAGUUUUACAGUGAGUUGUUGUCCGCAAUUCAAUAGAUUUGGCAUUCUGAGUUUCCAACCUUCAUAACUUUGUGCACUCUGUUUAUUUGUCAUCUUUACAUUAACAUUGGAAUAAGAUAGUUUCCUUGUUUAUAUGAUUCGUGGGUUGGAUCUAAAUGAUUGCUUUUUCCAUUUUUCAUUGAAUGAGCUUUUGUUGUAUUUAUAAGUGGGCCUUUGAUUUUCUCCCAGUACAUUUGAGGUUUGGUUUUUGCAUUUUAGAGACUUGUCGGAAAUCAAAGAAUCAGAACACAGAGCUCACUCCCAAGCUGACAUGUUCAAAAAUGCACUAGAUGAACAUAGUCUAGAGUUAAGGGUAAAAGCAGCCAAUGAAGCCGAAGCUGCUUGUCAGCAAAGGCUUGCAGCCACUGAAGCCGAAAUAACUGAUUCAAGGGCCAAACUUGAUGCAUCUGAGAGGUGUGUUUUUCGUAGUUCAAUUUGCAUAUAUGUAGAUUAAGCCUUCUAGAGAUCAAGUUUAUGUAGUAUAUGGGAAACUUGUAACUCCCUGCUAUUGUUUUUAUUUGCAGGGAUUUUCUGGAGCUUACCGAGGCUAUCAAAAUUAAAGACAAGGAGGCAGAAGCUUAUAUAUCUGAAAUUGAGGUGCCUUAUCAAUGCUUGUCUUCAAAUUGAUACCAUCAAUUUCUUGUUCCUUCAUAAUUGAACCUAUGAUUUUUUCUCAUUUUCAUUCUUCCUUCCUUUUCUUUUUCCUGAGUAAUUUAGUGUGUACCUGCAGACGAUUGGUCAGGCAUAUGAAGAUAUGCAGACCCAAAACCAGCAUCUGUUGCAGCUAGUGACUGAGAGGGAUGAUUAUAAUAUCAAGCUCGUUUCUGAGAGUGUGAAGACAAAGCAAGCACAAAGCUUUCUAGUUUCAGAGAAGCAGGCAUUGGCAAAACAACUUCAACAAGUAAAUACAUCAGUAGAAUCUCUAAAAAUGAGAAUUUCUCAAGACGACGAACAGGUACGGUUUCUCCCAUGCAGACAAAGUUACUAUAUAUGUCAACAUGUUCUCAACCACGAUUUGGCCCUGCAGAUGAAGGCUGUCUUAGCAGAAGCCUUGAAAUCUACCGAAGAAGACAGGCACCUUUCAGUCAAUCUAGAAGCUGGAAAGUGGGAACUGGCUGAUGCUGAUAAGGAGUUGCAGUGGCUCAAAUAUGCUGUUGCAUCUUCUGAAAAGGAAUAUGGACGUAUUAAAAAGGACAUUGAAGAUAUCCAAUUGGAAUUAGACAAUGAGAGGUAGUUUUAUCUCCAUCUUGAUUAGAAUGGCUUAUGUUAUUUUUUAUUUCAUUUUCUUCUCAUAAGAAAGAAUCAUUUUUGUUCUACGAUUGUGCAGUUAUACAUACUAUCGUAUAACUUUCUCAGAUGCGAUAUAUACUGUGUACAACUUUCUUGCUAUAAUCUGUAUAGCUCGAUUGGGUUUUUCUGGUGUUGAAGAUUUCUUUUUGCCUUGUGAUCUAUUAGUUGUAAUACUCUGUUCUUAAAUGUCCUGACAAGUUUUCUACUGGGUAUGUAGGAGUUUGAGGAAGAAUAUCGAGGAAGAGCUACAUGAAUUAAACAGCAGGGUUGCUGAGAUGAGUUCUGAAACUGGAGAGGCUGCAAUACAGAAACUCCAAUCAGAAAUUAAAUUUUACAAGAAUAUUUUGCAGUGUAGUGUUUGUACGGACAGACCCAAGGAGGUAAGGAAGAAUAUUUUAUCUUUCUUUUCGUCUGAUCAGUGAUUAGUGUUUGAGAUCUUUGUUACUCUGGUUAAAUCUUAUGAUGAACUGAUUGAUUCUGGUUCCUUAAUUCAUUGUCAGGUGGUAAUUGUCAAGUGCUUUCAUCUAUUUUGCAAUUACUGUGUUCAAAAGAAUUUAGAGAUCCGUCACCGAAAGUGUCCUGCUUGUGGAACUCCGUUCGGUCAGAGUGACAUACGGUUUGUAAAGAUAUGAAAGCACUACCCUGUUAUCAUGAUGGCUCGGCCUCCCCCAUUUUUUUAUUGCUAAGCAGUAUGGUAUAGUGAAUAGCAUAGUAUUUGAUUGUUGUAGUUGUGACAAUAAAUCCAAGCUGUGGUUUUGUAUAGUUUUGGUAUUGGUCAGUCUGUUUCUUUUGUUGUAAAUGACUAAUUUAUAUCAGAAAAGAAAAACAAUAAGUUAAAUAUCAAUGCCGUUACCUUUUUGUUCAUCUAUUUUGGUACUAGUUAGCAUUGUAUUUAUCAUACACCAAAAUCUGAUGAAAGGUGCCUCUUUCCGAAAUUCCUGUAUCUGAAUGUUUGAAGUGUCCUACUGUGUUCAGGUAAUCGGGUUCAAUUGAAAUAGGGAGUCUUGUUAUUAAGUGGUUGAUGAUAUUUGCAAGCAAUUUAAAAGUGCAGAACUAACUGAUGCUAUGCUUGAUGAUAUCUAGUGGAGGCUUCUCUGUAACCAAGUAAAGCAUCAGCUGAGGGAGUUUGUUCGUCCUCUGCUUGUUAUAUCAUAUUCUUGAGUCUUAACCUGUCUACAAUGACUAACUGAGGAAAAUCAAAAAGCAAAAAGAAAAAGCACCCCAAAACCCUAUUGCCACAACACUCAGGGGAGACAUAGCAUUCUAUAUGUUUGAAAUCACAACUUUCAAUUCUCUCAUAUCUCAUGUUCUUCAAUUUGUCAUGGGCUGGAUUCCCUGUGUAGUUAGGAACCUAAUACGUCAGAACUUUUAGUUCUUAUCUCAUGUGCUCUUCAAUUUGUAACUGGAUUCCCUAUGUAGUUAGGAAUCGUAAUCUAGAUUGAUCACGCUUUCUGUACAGGCUAUAUAAAUAAUGCUCCAAUUUGGAGAAUAAUAGUUUUAGUCUCUCUGAUUUUACCAUAUACUCAACAAUGGAUGUUGAUGUCAAGAAGCUAGAGAAACUUUCCUUGAUUUCGAAAGUCUGUUCGGAACUUGAAACCAAUCUAGGGCCGCAGCAUGGAGACAAAAUUCUAGCUGAGUUCAUAACAGAUCUGGGACAGAACAGCAAAAGUGUGGAGGAAUUCAAUGCCAAAUUGAAGGAAAAUGGCGCUGCCGAAAUCCCUGAUUACUUAGUCCGUAAUCUUCUCACUAUCAUUCAUGCAGUUCUUGCUCCGGAGAAGAACCCGAGAUCUUCCAAAAGAGAAGACGAUAAGCCUAAAGAUAGAAGCAGAGAGAGCAGAGGUUCUAAGGGAGAAGAAGACAAGCCUAGAGAUAGAAGAAGAGAAAGCAGAGGUAAUGAGGAUCAAGCGUACAAUUCCGGUGAGCCAGAGUUGUAUGGUGUUUAUAAGGGCAUGGUUACAAGAGUGAUGGAUACAGGCUGCUUUGUUGAGUUGAGUUCUCUCAGAGGGAAGGAGGGUCUGGUUCAUGUUUCGCAGAUGGAGAAGAGGCGAGUUAGUAAUGCUAAAGAUGUGGUGAAGAGGGGUCAUCAAGUUUAUGUGAAGGUGGUUUCGAUUUCAGGUCAGAAGUUGAGUCUUUCAAUGAAAGAUGUUGAUCAAAAGACAGGGAAGGAUUUGCUUCCUAUUACGAGGAGUUCAGGCUAUGAUACUCGUAACUCCAACCCGUUAAUGUCAAGGGAUGGUACUGCGAGCAGGACUAGUCUUUCUGGGAUUAGGAUUAAGGAGGAUAGUCUUGUCCAGUCUUGUAGGCCAAGGAAGAGACUAAGCUCCCCGGAGAGGUGGGAAAUCAAACAGUUGAUUGCUUCAGGUGUUUUGAAUGCUAAAGAUUAUGCAGAGAUUUAUCAAGACGAGGAAGUGGAUAGUAUAAUGAUGGUCUAUAAAGAUGAGGGACCUGAGGAAGAGCUUGAAAUUGAGCUCAAUGAGGAAGCGCCGGCCUUUUUGCAAGGGCACGACAUGUAUUCUGUGGAUAUGUCGCCGGUGAAGAUCUUUAAGAAUCCAGAAGGAUCACUGAGCCGUGCUGCUGCACUUCAAUCUGCGCUGGUCAAGGAGCGUAGAGAGAUGCGUGAUCAGCAGCAAAGAGCUGUGCUGGAUUCUAUACCGAAGGAUUUGAAUCGUCCGUGGGAAGAUCCAAUGCCAGAGAAUGGUGAGAGGCAUCUUGCACAGGAAAUUAGAGGUGUUGGUUUGUCAGCUCAUGAUGUACCUGAGUGGAAGAAAGAAGCUUAUGGGAAGGCUAUUAGUUUCGGGAACAGGUCAAGCCUUUCGAUUCAGGAACAAAGGAAGAGCUUGCCUAUCUACAAGCUGAGGAAAGAAGUGAUUGAUGCAGUGAAUGAGAAUCAAGUACUUGUUGUCAUUGGUGAGACUGGUUCUGGCAAGACAACACAGCUAACCCAGUAUCUUGCAGAAGCAGGUUACACGACGAAGGGUAGAAUUGGAUGUACACAGCCUCGUAGGGUGGCGGCAAUGUCAGUAGCGAAAAGGGUUGCUGAAGAGGUUGGCUGUCGGUUGGGGGAGGAAGUCGGUUAUGCCAUUCGUUUUGAGGAUUGCACUGGACCAGAUACUGUCAUCAAGUACAUGACAGAUGGUAUGCUUCUUAGGGAGAUUUUGUUCGAUAAAGACCUUAUGCAAUAUUCAGUGAUAAUGCUUGAUGAAGCUCAUGAGAGGACAAUCCACACAGAUGUUCUAUUUGGAUUACUGAAGCAACUCGUGAACCGCAGACCAGACCUUCGUUUGAUUGUUACCUCUGCUACUUUGGAUGCAGAAAAGUUUUCAGGUUAUUUCAACAAUUCCAAGAUCUUUACUUUCGAGGGGAGAACUCAUCCAGUUGAUGUAAUGUAUGUCAAGGAGCCAGAAAGUGAUUACCUUGACGCGGCUAUUAUCACUGUUUUGCAGAUUCACUUGCAAGAGCCAGAAGGUGACAUCCUUCUCUUCUUGACUGGACAGGAAGAGAUUGAUUUUGCAUGCCAGGUUCUUUAUGAGAGGAUGAAAGCUCUUCCUAAAAAUAUACCCGAGUUGAUCAUCUUACCGGUUUAUAGUGCUCUUCCGAGUGAAAUGCAGUCUAGGAUAUUUGAUCUAGCUCCACCAGGGAAGAGGAAAGUAGUUGUGGCUACUAAUAUUGCCGAGGCAUCUCUGACUAUUGAUGGAAUAAUUUAUGUCAUUGAUCCUGGAUUUGCAAAGCAGAAUGUUUAUAACCCAAAGCUGGGGCUAGAUUCACUGGUCAUAACUCCAAUCUCACAAGCAUCAGCCAAGCAACGAGCUGGGCGUGCCGGGCGUACAGCCGAGGGGAAAUGUUACCGUCUCUACACUGUGAGUGCCUUCAAAAAUGAGAUGCGUCCUACUACAGUCCCCGAAAUCCAGAGGACAAAUCUUGCGUCUACGGUGCUUGCAAUGAAAGCUAUGGGGAUAAAUGAUCUCCUCUCUUUUGAUUUUAUGGAUCCUCCUACGCCGCAGUCACUCAUUUCAGCCAUGGAGAAACUGUACAGCUUAGGAGCACUUGAUGAAGAGGGUUUCAUAACCAGACUAGGAAUGAAAAUGUCUGAGUUUCCUCUAGAACCACCCCUCUCGAAGAUGCUACUCGCAAGUGUGGACCUCGGAUGCAGUGAUGAGAUCUUGACCAUCAUAGCAAUGAUUCAGACAGGCAAUGUGUUUUACAGGCCUAGGGAGAAACAAGACCGCGCUGAUCAGAAGAGAGCAAAGUUUUUCCAGCCAGAAGGAGACCAUCUUACUUUACUUGCAGUCUACCAGGCUUGGAAAGGAAAAAACUAUUCAACACCAUGGUGUUUCGAAAACUUUCUUCAGUCUCGCUCCUUGAGGCGCGCGCAGGAUGUCCGAAAACAGCUCAUGAGCAUCAUGGACAAGCACAGGCUGGAUGUUGUCAGUGCCGGAAACAACUACACAAAGAUCACCAAGGCAAUCACGGCCGGCUUUUUCUUCCAUGUAGCUAGAAAGGAUCCACAGGAAGGUUACAAGACCUUUGUAGAGAACCAGCCAGUGUACAUCCACCCAAGCAGUGCUCUCUUUCAGAAGCAACCAGGUUGGGUCAUCUACAAUGAGCUGGUUAUGACUACAAAGGAGUACAUGCGAGAGGUGACAGCCAUUGAUCCCAAAUGGCUUGUGGAGUUGGCUCCCAGGUUCUUCAAAGCUGCAGAUCCUAACAAGAUGACCAAGCGCAAGCGUCAACAACGUAUCGAACCCUUGUAUGACAGAUAUAAUGAACCCAACUCAUGGCGCCUUAGUAGACGCCGUGGUUGAUUUAUGUUACAUUUUGUGCAUUAGAUACUGUAAGUUGAUGACCUUAUUAUAAGAACAUGUUUUUCAAUCUUUUAAGAACUUAAACGUUUGUAGUUCGGUUUGUUCAUUAGUUUAAAAGAGACUUGUCUUGGUUUGUUCAAUCUUUUAAGACUUAAAAUUGUUUUGGUUUGUUCACUUGGUUUGUUCAUUAGUUUAUAGCUUGUUUUACACUUUUACUGAUCUGUGUGUCAAUAAUCUCAAAGGGUUGUUGAUGUUGCUGAUUAGAGAUGAGAUUGCAGAAUCUAGGGAAAGCUAAUAGAGAUAUGGAAAGGUCCUGCUCCAUGUCGAAUCUUUCAUCAUGUUAAAAUUUUGGUAGUUUCCAAGUGCGACAAGUUGAAAAAUCUCUUCACAUCCGAGGUAGCUCACCAUCUUCCGAAAUUCUCUCCCCCCCCCACCCCACCCCAAAACGUCGUCGUCUUGACCCCCAACAUAAUGCUUGGUCAUAUCAUGACACAACUGAACUGAUCUCCAUCACUUUAGUCAUUUUUGUUACUCUCACACUAACCCAAGAAAUGCUUCUUUCUCUUGUUCAAACCACCACCACAUCCUCACCUUUCCAAUCCACCUCCUCAUCAACCUUCAAGACUCUUAGCCCCACUACUACUUCUAACCUCCCCAAAACUCUCUUUCUUGGUUUUCCAAUCCAACCCACCACAAAUGCCCUCCAAAGUUUCCUCCUUUUCACCAAAAUCUCACACUUCGGUAAACCCAGAUCACUUUCCAUCAAUGCUUCUCUGAUUGAAGCACCAGUCUUAUGGGCUGGUAGGCUUUGCAUCUUCUAUGCUCUCUUGAAGAUUGGUUUAGCUGGAUCUCAAGCUAACCCACUUGUCUCAGGUCUACUUUGUUAUCCCCAUUUUUCUUUCAAUUUGUUUCAAGCUAAUCCAUUAGUUGUUUUUCACUUUUUUGUUGAUAAAGUUUUGAUCUUUAUUGGUUUUUCAGAUUUGUGUGAGAGUGAAGGUGGUGGUGUUGGUGUUGAGACUGAUGAUUUGGGGUUUUCUAAGUGGUUGAACAGCAUACAGGGAAAACCAGGUUUGUGUUUCUUUAUAUUUUGCUUUCUCAUAUUGAACAUAUCAGCAUUUUUUUUUUUUUGUGUGCAUAUCUUUACUUGAGCAGAGUUUAGUUUGGAAUGUUUAGAUAUGUUGAAAUGGUUUUUUGCUGAUUGGAGAUAAGGUAUGCCUUAAGGUAAUCCCUUGAGGCAAUUAAGUUCAAUCUUUGGUACUCUUCGGCACUUGUAUGGAGAAAAUGCUAGAUGGCUAAGUGUGUUUUUCAUUCUGCGAGUUUAUGUCUUUGCUUGGAAUAUGGAGGUCAAUGUUGGUUAUUUGUCAUUAUAGCUAGAAUGGAGUUCCAAUGCUUCUGUAUCCUGAGCACCAUGAAGUUUUGAGGGAUAUAUGAUUCAGUUAAAUGACGCUUUAGUGGGUGAGAUAUUCUUAGUUUGUAUUGACAUCAUUGUUUGUGUAUGUAUAUUAGUUUGAUCUCCAAGGUUAUCAAAUGAUGCAAGUGAUGGAACCUUUUAUUUUGUUUCUAUCACCUCCUGAAUUCUUACUUGUUAGCUUCUUGGCUACAACCUCGAAAGCUAAAAGAUCAACUACUUGAUAGAUAUUGAUGCAACAAUUAACAGAAGUGUAUUAAAUGAGGAACCUUAAAUGUUCUUGUGUUCUGCAAUUUAUGUAAGAUUAAAGGCUUUCGCAGAUAAGAUAAUCUGACCUUUGUAGUUAGUUGUAUCCAUUUCACACCUUUUUUCAUUAGGUUGCAUUUUCCUUUUCUUUUAUCAUCAUUAUCAUUAUUAAGUCCCUGGUGUUUUAUUUUGUCUCAUCAGUGAAAGACGCAGCUGAUAGAAGGAAAUUAGUCAGCAAAUGGCAUCCUACCACAAAGGGUACACUCAGAAGGAAUUACAGGGUACCAUCUAAAUCUGAAGGGCGGCGUGUUCUUAAAGCCAUUGCGUCUUUAUUGUCGGAUGAUGACCACUUUAUAGAUGCCUCCUCCCACAAGGUAAUAAAAUUCUGAGGAUCAAUUUUGAGGAAACCGUUUUCAUUUCCUUCCCAUUUGAUUACAUUUGUCUCUCCUCUUAGCUAAAUUCUUAAUAGAAUAGUAGACGACCUAUGUGAUCUCACUUGUCAAACUUCUGGCAUUAAUAGGGUUGUCAGAUUAGAAGGGAGACUGCACAUGGAGAAAGUGUGUGUUGCAACAAUGUGAGGGCUCUGUUUGAUGAGCUCCCAACCCCGCACCUAGUUGUGGAAAUCACUCCUUUUCCUGCUGGUUCUCUUACAGAAAAGGAUUACACCAAAGCCGAGAAAUUAGAGAAGGUGCUCAGAUCUGGUCCUUCCAUUUGAGUCAUGGACUUUUCAUGAUUUCACUCGUUUUGUAUUCACUUCGGCUUUGUACAUAGCACAAUAUCAAAUGAAGUUUGGCGUCUACCCUUUGUUCUCAGCAUUUUAGAUAACAUUCACUCAAAAAGACGAGUAGGAAAAUGAUGUGAUCUUGACAAGUUUAUUUUGCUUUCAAUCUUAGUCAUUAAUGUACUCGGCCAAGAACCACAAAUAUAGUCACCAAUGCACCAACCAUAUAAUCAGGGUGUGGUUCUGCAAAAAGAGAUGAUGCGGUUAUGAUUACCUCUUGAUCAGCCUGUUCCUGUAUGCUCACUUGCUCAGUAUCUGCUCGCUGACACACAGGACUACUGUUGUGGCCGUUGGCAAGCAGAUAGAAAUCUCCUUUUUGUUCAGCAGUUGUACACUAACUCCGAAGCAGUCACACAAGACUAAUGUAAUAGAAGUUAAUAGAGAAAAGGCUCGGUGUAAACCUCACUCAUUUCAUUAAACCUUCACACAAUCUAAUGGAAUUUCAUACGUGUUAAACUUAAAUGAAGAAAAUGCUAGAAAAAUUAGAUUACAGCUAAUAGUGCCGUGUGAAAAAUAUGGCAAAUACAAAUUUCUGUCCAUUCAGAACUUAGAUUAAAGCAGCGUAACAGCACGUUGAUAUAUGAUCUGUGUACACUUUGGAAAUUAAUAUAUUGAAGACUCCUGCAGAGACUAUAUCUGUUUUACAAAUCCUAGACUAUCUGCUCAUAAUACAUUCAUUAGUAUGGAUCAUUCUCCUGCUUUCCCAUCUAUGCUGGAUUACCUCCUUGCUGUUGAGUCAGAAUUGGGAGAGAAUGGAUCAUAAAGUUGGUGUCCUCCAGGAUUAGACAACUUGCCAGAUGCAUAUGGAUUGUUGAUGAACUGUUGAUUUGGAGCCAAUUGAGCAGGAUAACUUUGCUGAAACUGAUUACGACUUCCUGGCAUUGGAGGCAAAGGACUGCGCAAAUUGGGCAUUUGGUGAGCUUGAUUGAAGUUCCCUGGUCUCAUUGGCAAGAGUGACAUUCUAGGUGCAACAGGAUUGACAUCUGGAAACAUUUCCAGUCUGGGAGGAACUGUUGAAUUUCUGGCAAACUGAAUAGGAGAAAUAUGAGCUGAAGGUUGACUAAUCUGGUCACCCACCUGUGGCCCUGGUAACACCUGAUUGCAAGGUUGAGGAGUCAUAUGUCGCACAGGCAACUGUAGAGACAUUACCUGAGGUCGCCCCAUUGGUCCAGCCGGGUGAGCAUUGUGAACUGAAAACUGAUUGCUUUGUUGGGGAACUGCUUGAAAGGCUGGACUUUGCGGUCGGUGAGGCUGGAAAGUGAAGUCACCAGGACUUGGAGCUGUCAGUAUUGGUGGUUUUAUAGGAUUGAAAUUUUGUACACUUCCCGAGACCGAAGUAGGGACUCUUGAUUGAUGAGGAGGAGGUAGAGAUGUAACUAGGCCUGAAGAAGGAGCUGGAGCAGAGCCUGACAUAGGGCUUAUAAAUGGUUGGGGUUGAGCAAGUGCCAGUAUUGGUAAAGUAGGAGGGUGAGGUUGCGGCAAAGAAGUAAAAGUUGGAGCUGCAUUGAGAUGAUUUAGAGGAUUAGGUGCCAUAUGCAUAUUAUUACUGAAACCUGCAGAUGUCGGUGGUAUGCUCCAUCCACCAGAGCUUCCAGCAGGUGCCUGUUGCCAGUCAGAUAUUCUUGCAAGGGGAUGAUUACUUUGGCCUGUUGGUGGGGGUUGGUUUCCCAAGAAUGUAACUGGAGCUGAAACAUUAGAUUGAACUGAUGAAGGCUGGGAAGCCAUCAUAGAGAAGUUUCUUGGUGCGCCAUGAGAACCAGGACUGGUCUGAGGCAUAUAUGUAUGCUGCAAAACUGAUGGUGGUAGGUGUUGUAUAUGGGGAAGAAGAGCUGGCAUUGUUGAAUUAAAAGGAGGUGUUGAUGGAUGGGCAGCAUUGUUUAGAAUUGGCAUUUGAGAAUUCAUUGGUGUGAAGCCAAGUUGAUUCAUUGGACUGCCAGGUUGGCCUGUAGAGUAAAAUGAACCAGGAUACUGAAACUGCCCAUUUGGUAGAGUUUGUGUAUGUCCUGUUGCUGGUAGCACCGGUCCUUGGUCUAUGAUAGUAGUAGGAACCAUAUCUGAGGUGGUUGUGUCCUGGCCUUGACUAGGAACAUGAGCAUUAUCACCCAUAAUGGCCGACAUAUUUCCCUACAUGGAAGGUAAUGAUUAGAAGAAUACAACAAUACUAACUGAUGAAAUGGUCACAACAUAAUACGGGAAAUGCAUUAGAAGGCUUUUAAAUACUGAAACUCACAGAUACAGAGGUGACUAGCAGUUCGAUUACAGCAACAGCUGCAUCUACUUUCUCAAAUGUAUCAGCUGAUACAUGAACAUAUAACUUUUCAUAUUCAGCCUGGAUUUCACUCCCAGCAUACUGUUUUAUUUCAGCCUGCAAAUAAGUUCAAGAAUGAAAAGUCAAUGCUAAAGCCAGAGCACUAUGUUCCGACUUGGUGCAACCAAGUCCAUGUUAGAGAUUUUGUGUAUACAACUAUACAUUAACAUAAAAGGACUAAAAGACAUAAUGAUAAAACUGAAACAUGAUUUGGUAUUCACUCAUCAUUGUUUUAAAUUUGGAGAAUAGUUACCUUUUCUCCUGUCACUGCUUUGGUACCGUAGACUUGAAUCUUAGCUCCUGUUUCCUAAAUUACAUUGAUCAUUUAAUAUAUUAUAUUCCAAUAAACAUACAACACAAAGAUCAUCAACACAUGCGCAUGGUUCAUGAAAGUGGUAGAUAUUAGCCCACUUGAGCAUUAACACAAACUUCUUACCUUUUCUAAUUGCUUCUGAUUAUCACCUCCAGGCCCAUAUAUCAGACCAAGAAUAUUGUAUGUAGGAUAUUCUUUGACCUGAACAAGCAUUUACCACAUGUUAGCAUCAGAAACUUAUACUCACCUGGGGAAAAUUGUUCUCAAAUCUAGAUAAUAUUAUUAUUAAUCUCAACAACUGACCAUUGGAAUUUAUUAAUCCUAUUCAACAACAAAGGCCAUAAGCUUACAGAUCCUUACAAUUUUUGGAUCCAUAAAAGAUCAAUAGCAGAAGUAGCAUGACCUAGAAACUUAAAAUGCCGAUCAAUCUGUAUAUCACAAUUACGGUUUGAAGUAGAUACCCAGUUUGAAGUCAGCUAUCUGACAACUUUUGUUAAGCAUAUAGGUUAGGCCACAUAUCCAUCAGGAUAAGUCCCAGGUAGUCAUGUUUCCUCACACUCUUGGUGCUUUAUAAAUCCUUGUGUUCUCUGUUAAACCACUAAUUAACCUUCCAACCCCAAUUGAUAAAAACAAUUAUUCACAUUUUGAGGUCUAAGACACUCUUAUCAUCUAACCCCAAACUUUAUCACAAAAAAAAACCUUGGUUUACUGAAAUCUAUAACGUCCCUUUUCUCCUUAAAAGUAAUCAGUCUAGACAGAACACAUAAAGUUUUUUUUUUUUUUUUUUUUUUGCAAUUCUAUUUUGAACGUUCUCUGCUGUGCACUAUAUAUCACAUUUAAUCAAAACAAUGUAUAAUCUCUCAUCUUCUGUACAGCUUAACCAAAGAACUAAAUAGAGAAGUGUCACAUGGAAUUGAAGACAGAUAAUAAACUUACAGGAACAGGAACUGUAGCCUCUUUCAACAAAGGUUUGUAAUCAGAUGGAGCCUUGUAACUUGGAUUCAGCUUUAGUAUCUCACCUGAAUAUACUCAAAAGUCAAAAAUUAAUCAAGCAGGGUACGCAUAACAUAAGAAUUAGGAAGGUAAAAUGUGAGACGGCCAUCAAGCACACCUAUGGCUUCCCGCUUUUCAAGUUCCAAUUGUUCUGCACCCUACAUCAACGUAGUUUAUAAUCAGUGCUUAAGAAUUAAUAGUUCAAACAUUAAAGUAAUUAAUGAAACAAAUAAGAUUUAACUUGUAGGGAAACUGAAGUAAAUUGUACCUCCUUGUCAACUUGAUACGUAAAGGAUCUGUGGUCUGGAUCCUGAGUUGCUGAUGGCAUGUUCUCAUUGUUACCAAACUCUGACAUUCCCGAUUUCAGCUGUUGUGUAAUUUGAUCCACCCGAGUCUGCUCAAAAUUGUACCACCAAACAGGGCAGUAAUAUCACUUAGUGGCACCUGGAAUAGGAGGAUUCUAUGUGAACCUUUCACACAGAACACGCCGACCAACAUUUUAUCACCCAACAGGAAAUGUGAAAGCUUAAAUUGCCACUGACCAAUCUUUACUCCCCCACAAACUGGGGCUACAAUACAAAUGCCUUAAGACCGUAUUUUUAUGUCCAUAAAUAUAAAUUAUGGUUUAGGUUUUAUCAUUAUAGAAUGUUGGCAUCUUUAAGUUAUGCGAAUAUAUUUUUUUGGUUACAAAUUAUGAGAAUAUAUUAACAUCAGAAGAAAGAUAAUAAGAACAGGAGUAUCAGAGAAUCCAUACAAUACCUGAUAAGCUAAGGCUCUUCCCUUUCUAACAGAAGCAUCUUGUGACAGAUCAGCACCCCAUUUCGUUUUCCUCUGAACCUGUUUCUUACUCUCUCCACUACCAUAAUCACUAGCACCAACAUUUUUACCUCCCCGAGAGAUGGGCACCAGUGAACCCGACAACUUGUUUUUCGGUAUAACAAAUCCAGCCUUAGCAGCAAACUUGGAGACCUUUUGGCCACCAGUUGCUGAUGCAGAUGUAUCAACCUUUGCACUCAUCCUGCCAUGUAUAAAUCAAUCCACCAAACAUAAAUAUCAUUUCAGCUAGCAAAUUCAAGAAUCGAGGUUUCAUUCGAUUAAACUUCAGAAGUGCACCAAAUAGCUCAAAUUGGCACAUUACUACACACUUGCCUAUCCUAAAUGAAACUGAAAGACUCAAGCUUUGGCUCAUUUUUCACAAAGUAACUCCAAAAAUCACAAACCCAGAUAGAAAUUCCAGUGCUUUACUAAACAUACAAACCCAAUUGGGUAUCCUCAAUUCAAAGUUUUACUUUUUUUUUUUUUUUUUUUUUUUUUUUGAGAAUGACAAUUCAAAGAACUUCUAUAACACUCAAAACAGAGAAAGAACACAUCUUUAUCACAACCCAAGAAUACCCAAUUCUUUAUUUUCCUUAGCUUCCUCUAGACUUAGAUGAACACAGUGAAGAAAUGUUCUUCCUUAAAGAAAAUAGUAAUACCCAACUCGCCUCAACCUAUAUAUACGCAGAUAUAUAGAUACAGAGUAUAGAGAUAAGAGACAGAACAAAAGAGAUUGAGUACCUGCGUUAGACUGAACUGUAGUGAAUGCUUCUUCUGAUUCCUACUACAAUCGAAAAGCUAGAACACAAAUGAAACUGAAUACACAAGAGACUGAGAGAAGGUCGGAAGUCGGAACCGAAUUUAUUUGGUGGAUCACCCCAGCGGCCCAGCCCUUCUAGGCCCACCCCGGCCCGGCCCCUCUAGGCCCACUCCGGCCCAGACCGCCUAGACACGUAGUUAGCCCGCUAAAAGCUCAAUUGGUUUUUUUUUUUUCUUAAACUGUUUUAUAGCGAUCGACAAUAAUAACAGCUUCGCAUGCAAGUCUUUGAUUUCGUGUAGGAACAGAAACCAAACCCUAACAAAAGCCAAAAAGCCUCUUUCUUUACUACCAUUUUUCUUAGUUUAAUGCUAGUCGAAGAAAGAAUUCUGAUUACGUGUGGUGAUAAGUUAACAAGAUAGAAUAGAGUUAUGUUUCAUUCUGUAUACAAAAAUAUUAUCUUGUAAUUCUCUAUAUAAAAGGAAAUAAUUCUCCGAUUUAUUUACUACAACUCAUACCUAUAUAUAAACACCCGAUUCUCUCCAUGUUUGAUUGAUUGUGACUCCCCAAAAACCCCAAACGUUUUUUGCUGCUCCACUUUUCGUGUCAAUUCGGCCAUGGCCAAUAACAAAAGUUUGUUCAAGAAAAAACAUCCUCUUGAGAGGAGGAAGGCAGAAGCUUUGCGAAUCAGGGGGAAGCAUCCGGAGAAAGUACCAGUGAUUGUGGAGAAGGCCAUAAAGAGUGACAUUGCUGACAUUGACAAGAACAAGUACCUUGUGCCUGGUGAUUUCACUUGCUUAUGUUGUCCGCGAGAGGAUCAAGCUCGGUGCAGAGAAGGCUAUAUUUAUCUUUGUCAACAACCUUUUACCUCCCCAAGCUGCCUUGAUGUCUUCAAUUUAUGAACAAAACAAGGAUGAAGAUGGAUUCCUUUACAUGACCUACAGUGGAGAGAAUGUCUUUCGAUCUCAUUAACAAGAAAGAUGUAAAUUCCGGUAGCUAGCUGGAGGCCGCGAUCAUCUGCUUAUCUACUAAAGUUUAUAGUUAAUCAUGCUCUUUUAGAAAAACAGCUUCUCUUUUGUAUGUACGUUGAGUUCCUCUUCUCUUUCAUAUUCCUUGUCUAGUAAUGGCAUCAUAUUCAGUAAUCAAAAUUCUUCUUCUUCCAAAAGCAAUGAUAUAUUAUACGAAAUAGAGGUAUUUCUGGGUUUCUGCCUGUAUUAUACAUGGCCAAAUCAUGGACCAAAUCAACAAGUUUUGCACGUAAACUAUGUUCGUAAAAUAAAAUUGUAUCUAACUUGUAUGAACUAUAAAGUAAUAGUAGCAUUAGUAGUGGCUUUCUAGUGGGCAUUUUCUCUAAAGUAAUUGCCUCGACAUUCAUAUUCCGUGGUAAAAGUGGGUAAAAGGAAUGAAAAUUGCUUUACAUUAGUUUAAAAAGAAGAACAGGGUACCAAAUCCUACCUACUAACUCUACUACAACACCAUUUGGGUUGAUCAACAGCGAGGAGUAACCAGUGAAGCUUUUCCGACACAAACCUAUCUCCAACAAAGUAGUUAGGUCCUACAGCAUGCGAGCACAAUCUGGGGCAGGAAACGAGGCACAAACCCACCAAGGGAAAAGCUUUCGGUUUUGAGGACUGCCAGACAUUAUCAAGUGAAAGGAUAGAAGUUCGAAAAGAGUAAACUUCCGAGAAGAAUGUAUGCAGCAGAGUAUGCCCAGAUCACAUAUCCCCAUCUCUUAUAAGUACCAGGAGAUUUCAUUAUAUAUGAAGCGAACCAAUAGAGAGGAGGGCUGAAAGAUAGGAAGCGAGUAGCAACCUGUCAAUCGUGAAGCAUCAGAAGUUGGAACUGUUAAAAAAAAUCUUACAAAGAUACAAAUCUUCCCAAUAAGAAAAUAAUGGGCACAAGCUAAAACCAUUUAUUUUCAGAGUAUGAUGAUGCAAUCAAAGAGAAUUCCAUAUUCUUUGGAUAAUCAAUCAAAGAGAAUAAAUGGUGAGUGGUGACCGUAAUUCAGAGAGCUGGGACUUCUAUAAUACUUCCAAUUUAACAAAAGUUUAGUAUGAAACUCAAACCUGCACAUGCAUGACAAAAAAAGUGGUGGCUGCCAUAAAUCCCAAAUGAAAUAUAUAAGGGAGAGCAGCAACAGAAGAGUAUCCUCGAGUUGCUGAUAACAUUGAUUCUUCUGGAUCUUUGAUCACUUGCUUUUUUGCUUUGAGAUUGCGAUUUUCUGCACAUUUGCAAAUCAUUGCUAAAUUCAAAAUACUGGGAAAUGGAAAAUACAGUAAAGGGGAACUAUUAACCUAACAUCAGAGUAUCCUAAACAAAUGAAUCCUCUCAGUAUACUUCAAGUAAGCUUUUAGGUUAUUAGAUUGAUAAAAACAUAUGCAGGCCUUUGAUUAAUGAACUCAUAUAGGCAAUAAAAUUAUAAAUCUGUACAAUAUGACUUUAGUAAGAGCCAUUCAUGAUUGAAGCACGUAUGAUAUGACAGUAAUAUUGUCAGCUAGUGAAUCACAAACCAGUGCACGUUUAAAUGUUACCACGACUCAAAGUAAACAGCACAGCAGCAGAGCUUUUGUCCUCAGUGGGAGCAUGGAAACCUAAAGAGUAGAAGUUCUUGGGAUUUGACUUUGCAUAAUGGACAAUUGAGCAGAGUGCCAAUGACAAUAUUGGCGAUGCCAGUAGAAAGUUUGGCAACUGUUUAACUUGGAAGUAUUUCAGAAAACCAACCCCCCUGCAUCACGAUAACCAGUAAGUGAUCUAGUCCAAUUACCAUACCUUGCAGUAUCAUAUACAUGAAUCCAAAAAAAAAAAUCAUGAAUCCAAGUUUCACCAAUAAAGAUGGAAAGAAGUAAUUGGCCAAUGAAAAACCAUAAAUAGUAAAAGAUAACAUACCAGUAAUGAUUUUGAAUAUAAUUAUAGAGCAUAGGCACUCUUGCUUUGCACCAGGGGCUCGUUUCAUUUGGAAAAUGUCCAAGACAGAUAUUGUGGUAUCCAUAUGACUGAAAUGCAACAAAUGGAACAAAAAUACAUAUACAACGGAGAGCUCCACCAACAAGAACCUGCAUUGCCAACUGGCAUAGAAAUGAAAACUUAUUAAGUAACCAUCUUCCUCAUAAGAAAACAAGAAACUCUUAGGUUUGUGUUUUGGUCUUUUCAUUCCAGAGAAAAACAAAAGACCUGAAGAUUUUGUCUGCUUUCCAAAGACAGUCAAUUUUGGAACUAUGUAGAGAACACAUAUUCCGCAAGAUUAAAGUUGUAAGUUCUCUGAGGUACGAGUAUAAAUGCAAAAAAAUAAAAAAUAAAGAAUUAAAAUUCGAAACCUACAAAAGCACGCUUUCUCAAGAAAACAGCAUCGUAAGCCUGAUGCAUAGUCUGAAAACAGAAAUAACCAGCAUUAAGCAUUCCAUUGGACCUUGAAAAUCCAGAGAGGGCAAGCCAAAGAACAGCAAUAGUAUUCUUUCCGGACAUCAGAUGGUACAAUCCUCCAAGUGAAAAUAGGGCGAACAAAGUCUCUGAGUAUCUGAAAUAAGCAGCAGACAAAAUAACUCAUUUGAUUCAGUGUCAGACUCAUCAAUUCAAAAUUUGAAAGAAAUGAAUGAUUAAUUACAUUGAUGAAUAAAAUAUGGAAGCUGGAUUGAAGCAAAACAGAAUUGAAGCCCUCAAUGCUGCUUCCUGGUCCUUCAAAAUGAUAACUGAGAGCCUGUUAAAGCCGCCAGAGAAAGAACACCCAUCACAUUUUAGACCAAAAGGGAUCUCAAUCAAAUAUGUUCAGCGUACUCAAAUUUUAAGACUUAAUUGGUAUUACGAACUCGAUUAAAUCAUUAUACUUAAACCAAAGCCUAUAUGUAUACUGAUUAAGACCCUGCCAAGCAUCUAAAACAUCAAAACUGAAAAAUCUACAGAACCAAAUAACCUUGUUACUGUCAAAUAUCACACUUCACUAUUCACGAAACUCCACUCUUUCUUUUUGAUUAUCAGUGAAAACUUAGUUUCAGUGAAUCAUUGUUUCAAUAACUAAAACAAUUAACUAUAAUGAGGCAACCAAAGCAUUGAAAUUGAAAAAUCCACAAUGAUGCAGCACCAGAAAGCCUAUCACAACAGGAAACUCCACUCUUUCUUUUCGAUUAUCAAAUAAAGUCGGUGAAUCAUUGUCUCAAAAGCUAGAACUUCUUAACUUUCCUAACUACACUGAGGCAACCUAAGCUAACAAUUACUAGCGAAAAGCACAGUUGAAGCUACCAGCUCACCUAUACAAAUAAAGAGCCGCGAACACAAAUCCAACGUUGUUGAUCACAUAGCCUGAUAACCCCAACACAGCUCUAUGCCCAAUCACCGGAAUCAACGGCGCCAAAACUGAAACAUAAACACAUCAAACUCAACAACUACCUUAAAAAACAACAGCAAAAAUUUUAACUUUCCAAAUUUGGAAACCAACGAAAAAUGUCAUCAGUAGAAUCUAAACCUUUGCGAGACAACCAUGAAAUGCAGAUAGGGAGGAGAGGGAAGAAAGCAUAGGACUGUUCGUACUCGUAACCACAUUGUGCGAUCCUAACAAAGUAGACGCUGUCCCAGACAAUGCUGGACUCGAUAGCCGAGGCGAGACGAGGUACGAGGAUGACGUGUUGAUCAUCGUCAGCAACAACGUUAGGAUGUUGUUGUUGUGAGAGACAAGUGGGGUUGAGGGGAGCGGAGGUGUCGUACGGGGUGAGGAGGGUGCGCCAUAGGAUGAUGAGAGAGAGGACUAGGAGUCUGGAUCGGAUUGCGUAUUUGAUGACGGUGGAUUCGUGGUGGGAUUUGGUCGGAUUCAUCAUUUUUGGGUUUGGGUUUGAAGGGAGGUGAACGGAGAUUGAUGCCGGGAAAAGAUUUGGCGGCGUGUGUCGCUUGAAGGACUUGUCGUCUGUCACGAAAGAUUUUGGGCCUCUGCUUUUAAUUGACUUUCUUUUUGGGUUAAUUCUUUUUCUUCUUUUGAUGCUGAUUGGGAUGGGCUGGGCCUCUAGAAGGAGGCCUGCUUUUCCCCCUUGCGAUUAUUCUUGUUCUUGAAUGCUUCUGACACCAAUUGAGAUCAUUCUCUAACUUGAUGCAUUAACGUCGUUAUAAAUUUAUCGGAGCUUGAUUUGUUCCUCUAAAAAAUAUUUUCAUAGAACUCUACUGAUAAAGGAUAAAGUGUAGAGACAAAGAGAUAGCAAGAGAGUCAUCAUCUUAUUCAUUGAUAGGAGCCCUUUAUAUAAGGAAUUACACAAUACCAAUAUGGUUGGGAUAUGAAUACAUAUAUCUAGUCUAACUACAUAUCUUAUUGGCAUAAGGCCAAGACACACAUAGAGAAUAUCCUAGAACACUCCCCCUUGUGCCGCGCGCUGAUAUGCCGAUGGUGCUGAUCUGUUGCCUCGUCAAAAACCUCGUCAAGUCACAAAAACCUGUGGAGAAAAACUGAACCUUGAUCGUAGGAGAAAAAGAGUACAANACACCUUCACAUUUGAUAGUGACAUGUAUGUAUGUGCUAGACUCCCCCUGAAGUUCGCACCUCCCCUUGAUCUUUACAUCAAUCAUAGGGCUCUUCCUGAUUCUUACUAAUCACGGAAGUUUCAACAACUUAGCAUGUCAAUGCUUUUUAACAUGUCUUCAAAUGUGGCAUUAGGCAAUGAUUAACUAAAUCAUGCCGUAUUGUCCUCAAAUGAUCUUUUACACUUAGAUCUUGAGGAGAAGGCCGCUUGUGAACUCAAAACAUAAGUUCGUGCAGGAAAUCAGAUUUCCGCGCAGCAUGACCUUCAAUUACUAGAACAGUCGUGACUUCCUCUAGGAAAUACAUAUGAACGAAACGCAAAUGGUUUUGGAAACUAGACUCAUUUAGCUUUCCAACCGUAUAUUACACACAUUCUGGUUCAUCAGGAGCUGUUCACAAAAUCCCGUCGAAGUUGACUGUUUUGCCAAAAUCAGAUUCUCGGACAGAUUCGUACUACUUUACGAAAACGGCCAUAAUUCACUCAAUAUGAUAGGUAUGAUCAAGUGGUUGGUGUCCCUGGAAAGUAGACACAUAGACCUUUCCAAUGGUACCAAUUUCAUCAUUUUUCAGUGAGUGAGAUUUCCUGUAGGUCCCGUGGAAGUUGACCUACGAAACUUGGCAGAUUCUGAUUUCACUUUUGAUGUGUCUUUCUUAUGUAGGGAUAGAAUAAGCCUCAACCUUUCAUACCAUUAAGUAUUGAAAAAGGAGUUACUGCCAUUACAUUGGCGUUGCGUGGGCGUAUAGCUACACUUAGCUUUACAACUUUUCAUAGCGAAUGAGAUGUCAAGUCUUUCGUAUUGUGUUGAGUACAUUGAUGCGUCUUAUUGUACUUAGAUGGGAACUCCAUCUCUUAACACAUAUUUGUCAUCUUGCUUUAGACAAAACAACGGAUCUCUCUUUAGAGCAAAGACCUUGACUAAUCAUGGGAGUAUAUGUAUGCCUCACUAGUUAUAGAGCGCCUAAGCCGAUUGAUGGAAAAUCAUCAUCAAUACAGUCAUCGAGUGCCUUAUCGAGACCAUGUCCUUCCCAAGAUCUUUUCUUCCGGAUGUUGAUACAUAUUGGCAUCUCUUGAUCCAUCAAGAGUCCAUGUAAAUCCGGAAUGAACACGCAAAGGCAUAAUUCACCAUAUCUCUUCCAAAUCAAGUAGAGUCCAUGUGCGUUUCAAUACAUUUAGCAAACGCAUGCUCCUGUGGUUUGGAGCCACUUGAUUCGGAUGAAUGAAGUCCGUUUAAGAUCUUCAUGUAUAUCUCUGAUCCCAUAGAGAUGUUAUUAUGACCACAUUCAUAGGCUGCAUGUUCAGUUAUUCGGAAACUACCAAACUGACAAAGUAGUGGAGUUCAAUGACAUCCAUUACGAGAGCAUAUCUCAUCGUAGUUGAUCCCAGUACGUGUUAGUGAAAGACCUUGCGCCAUAAGGUGAGUCUAAGCUCUUGUUCUCACUACGCUAUCUAACAAAGGCACAGUUGAUAGGGUUUAGCUUGCGGUGUCAGCAUCACCUGCCCAAGGACCUAUCUCUUUGUUAAUGCUGGAUCGCAUCUUUCCAUUAGGCCAAUCAACUAAGUUGAUAUCCAUCAACGAAGGGUGGUUCGAUAGUAGACUCAUUAUCUCACGUCCUCAUGUACACUAGUGUAAUACUUGUAGAGAUCUCUAUAUGGAUUGGAUUUGACAUUGACGGCGUCCCCCAACGAUAAUCACAAUUCAGACUUCAUGAGACGGAUUUGAGUAUCACUGAUCAAUGGAUCAGGUUGUGCCAAGCUCGCUUUCUUUCUAGUGCAAGACAAUAUCGAACCUAAGGGCCUCCCUCCUUUUAGGGAGCCACACGGCCUUGUGACACCAAUUUUGCCACUAUAUGGCGUCACCAUAUCACCAUCCAUGGUGAUGGCGUCAAGACCAACACUUUUUGGUCGCGCCAUGUCCUUUUGUAGGACAUCAAUCCUUGCAGACAUAUUUGCAGCAUGUGAUCUCGUCACUUUAACACUAUAAGCAUUUGGGAUCAAGAUGAGACUUAGUGGGGACAAACCACGACAAUUCACGUCGUUCCACUUGAACACUUGUGUUCUUAUCUCCCCCUAACGGCAGGAAUAUUGUCUCAUCAAAGUGACAAUCCGCAAUUUAGCGGUGAAUGAGAUUGCCUGACAAGGUUCCUACAUAUGCAGAUUAUAGGUGGAGGUUCAUAUCCAACCUAAACUUAUUCAUCUCAAAUGACCCAUCAUUGUACGCAGUGGCAAUGCGAUUUGGCACCUAGAAAUAACAUCUAGCCGAGCUCAAGGAUUGGAGAUCCGUUUCAAUACUGCCGAGCUCAAGGAUUGCAAUUCCGUGUCAAUCCUAGUACACAGUCACAAGCUGUAGUACAAUAAAAUUCAAUGAUGGUGGGUCGUAGAUGAAUACUAAAGCUGCAUGCAAAUAUUGCAUAGCCCUAAGACGCAAUAGAAAGAUUGGUGCGCAUCAAGAAUGUUCGAGCGACAAGCUAAAGUUGCUUGGUCGUAGCCUCGGUGAGACCGUAUUGCGUGUGAACAUGGGGUACAGGACACUUCAACUUACAUCCCGAUUAAACUUCUUUAAAGAAUUGGUAGUGAGCCCGUAGAAGUAUAAGCAGUAUAAGUAGUAGAUAAUAGUGUAACACGUGACCAGUGUGUUAACACAUCAACCAACACCAUAAAGCAUAAAAAGGUGUCCGCAAGUUGGUUGUAUCUAUCUACAUAGUUUAAUGUAAGAAUAGAAUGUUCACUUUUGUGUUAUUUAGCGUAGGAGGGUCUCACUCCUUAUUUAGCUAAAGAAUAGGCUUUCAAAACGAGCAAUGAGCAUUGCAGGGGGCCAAUGCGACAUCGAGGAAAGGCCGGUGCACCUCAAUUGCUUGAGGAAUUGACCAGACGACCUCUAAGAAGUUAGAGUCGUGUUCGAGUGACGUCAAUGUCCCCCGGGUCACCACCAUGCUUCAUGGUGAUGCUAGAUCUCAAAUGUCUUCGUUUUGAGCGGAAGAAUGGAUGUCCAUGAGAAUUUCUCAAAAUUUGGACCAUUAUAUCUCUUCCAGGUUGACCAAUUUGGUCAAACCAAAGCCUAUAUGAGUCGGUGUCCCAAAUAUCAUGUUUGGCGACAACAUGGGAUUCGAUAUUCGAAUCGUAGUGACAUACAGUUCACUAGAUUGACUCAUGAAUUUCUCCAAGAUGCGCUUCAGUUCGCAUUCAUGAGGAGGUAUACACAAAAGNNNNNNNNNNNNNNNNNNNNCGUAUGAUCAAAACCAAGUCUUUCGGUCGUUCUAAGGUCGUAAACUCCAUGACUAGUUAGCAAAAGCUCCCUGACAUGAACAUAAACUAACUCAGAGGACUUAGAGGAUCCGAUCAUGAUGAUAAUUUUCCAGCUUUGAUAAGUCUUCAACGUCUUUUGCAAGACGGCAAUUGGUUUAAUAGCGUAGGGGGAUCCAAAAUCAAAAGCUUUCGGUAACUCCAAGUCAGUAGGACCAGGCAUGUCCGUGGAGGGUCGGUAGUGCGAGGCACACUUAAAACCACUAUCUCCUUAAUUUCGGACAAUUCUAAGACAUCACACUGAGCUUGGAUGAGCCUAGUUGAACAAUUGAUGAUGAAAAAUCCGCUAUAGGGUAGAAGAUUUAACCGGAAACACGUGGGCGAUCCUCCUUGAGGAUGCAGUGCCAUGAGUCACCUUCAAAGGAAGGGACCAAAAUCGGCACAAUAUGCCAUGUUUCUAAGGACGUUGUAAGUGUACAUCUUGAUUGUAAAUCAAUAUGAACCAUAAGAGGAGAAUAGUUUCACUUCAAAAAAAUUCUGAAGGCAUUCAUUAUUGCUAAUGUGAGUACAUCGAGGUCUCAAAUAGACAAAGGACGUCGAUACAACGCCUUAGUACAUAUAACUUGGAACGAAAAUCAAUGUCUAGCCGAUGACAUCAAAGUCAUGGGUAGCUAGAGCAGGAUCCGAAUCUUUGAAAUUCGCGAUCAUGAGGAUGACGUUCUUGUCCUCAUAUUGAUUUUCCAUACAUUUUUGUAUGCAUUCACAAUUUAAAGGAGCUUGACAAUCUUGAACCAGUGAUCUGAAGAUCCACAACGGUUGCAUUAAUGUCAUGAGCUGACGUUAGUAGUUUUGACAAAAUGGUGUCUAGAUCGGGAGUGUCGCUAUUAGAGCCGGCAACACCUCCCCCUCUUUUCUAGACAUCGGCACGACAUUUUCUGCCGUUGCCAUGACCCAUAUUGUUGUCCCCACAUUAGGGGAUAAUCCCAAAUAAGUUUAUCACAUUAGCGUAUAUACAAUUCCUGUUUGUAUGAUCAAAAUCAAGUCUCGUUGGUAAUUCCACACCAACUUGGAGGACCUAGAGAACUUGAUGAUGAUCGAAUCCGCUAAAGAUUAUGGAUCAUGAUGCCAUAAAAGAUCAUCGACAAUAUGUAGUCAAUUAAGGUGGUAAGCAAUCCACUUGUCUAAUAACUCAACAAGAAGAGUUAUAUGAACGUUUCGAGAAACGCUCCAUGAGUGCAUUCCACAGUACUUUGUGGUCAUUACUUUUUGCACAGAUUGCCAUUGAAGGCUUUUGUCGAUGUGGCAUCUCGGCAUCUAGGCUUGUUAGCCUGGGGGUCAAAACAUGUGGUUUAAUCCUUUCCAAUGAAAGGUUCCACAGAUACCAAGCGAAGAUCUGCUUUAGGCAUCUAGUACGUCAAAACUUAAAGGAGCAGAAUGUUACAUUGCUCUUGCAUACAAAACCAAGCUGUUAUGAGACUUGAUAGAGGUCACAAACGAUGCUUUUAAUGGUUUGUCCUUCGGAUUGAUCAUACACAAUACGGAAAAGCCGCGAAUUGAUCAAACACAAUUCGAAAAAAGGCCUCGGAUUGAUCAAACACAAUCCGGUGAAAGGUCGGGGUUGAUCAUACACAACCCGGACAAGGAAACAAGAGUGAUCAAACACACUCUUGACCCGCGAAUAAAAUUCCGGGAUUUUUGGUACCUGCACACACAAAAUCCCAAGCAUAGAAUGGAGAUGGAGAAGGGAGGAAAGGAUUUUAUCCUCCCCGAGUUAUUGAACUUGGAAAAGUUUAAGGUUUCAAAACAUACUUUUCUGGUUUCCUUGGAAGACGAGCAAUCUUGAAAUCUUUGGUUUCUAGAGGUUGCCGAGAGGAGAAACAAUUUCGCCUACUUAUACUUCGAAUUUAGAGCUGAAAAUUUGACAUAAGCAGCAGCAGCUCUGGAUGAGGAAGCUGCUGUCAAAAAUUCAGGUUGAUCGGAGCAAGGAAAGGUCGUGAACCGGUGGUCGGUAGCGGCGGCGGUCUGGAAUUUUCCGGUGGCCGGUUCGGAGACUUUCCGGCCGGUUCUCAGAGUGAGGCCGGCAGCGUUGGAUCCGGGACGGAGAGAGCUUUCUGGGGAUAUAAAAUUCUGACGGAGGGCAGUUGAAAUUUUGGUCGGAAAUCGGAAAAAACAAGGCUGCCCGAUUUUAGGGUUUGAAAAACAAAUGGUAGGCUAUUGGCUCUAGGGUUAGAACAAAGUGCAUGAUAACGUGAUAAAGGAUAAAGUGUAGAGACAAAGAGAUAGCAAGAGAGUCAUCAUCUUAUUCAUUGAUAGGAGCCCUUUAUAUAAGGAAUUACACAAUACCAAUAUGGUAAGGAUAUGAAUACAUAGAUCUAGUCUAACUACAUAUCCUAUUGGCAUAAGACCAAGGCACACAUAGAGAAUAUCCUAGAACAUCUACUAAUUGUACGAGACGGCCUAUCUCUCAACUUCCUAGCCUUCACCGGUGUUAUACAUGUUUUCCAUUUUCAUCCUCAUCACCGUACCCUCACUUCUCCCUAGGUAGCUUAUCGUUAUCAUAAUAAGUGUCAAGAAAUACAUGGUAUGAUUUGGUGAAUCAAUUCAAGUGAUGAGUGUUGGUUAUAACACGUCAUAUACGAUUGAAACCAUAAAUAUUAGGUCUCAUUAAGGCCAACAAUCCUAUGUUACUAAUUACUCGAAAUGUAAUAAAUUGCAAACUAGCUAGAGCGGAUCGAAGUUGAUUAUACAAGCAAUGAGAGCGAGAGAGAUAUCUUAUAAAACAGUUAUUUGAGGGUGUUGUUAAAUAUACCCAGCAAAUUUCUAAGUGUAGCAAUUAAAAAAUUGUCACUUAGUACCAGUCUUGCCCCUACCUACACCCAGCAGCGUUCUUCCGUUACCAAGCGAAGCAACUUGUUCUCUCUCUUCCAUUACCCAGCAGGCAGCACUUGAGGUUCUUUCAAGAACCAUUGUUACUAACACUGUG